rnacentral:rRNA from 1 species
GACGAACGCUGGCGGCGUGCCUAAUACAUGCAAGUCGAACGAACUCUGGUAUUGAUUGGUGCUUGCAUCAUGAUUUACAUUUGAGUGAGUGGCGAACUGGUGAGUAACACGUGGGAAACCUGCCCAGAAGCGGGGGAUAACACCUGGAAACAGAUGCUAAUACCGCAUAACAACUUGGACCGCAUGGUCCGAGCUUGAAAGAUGGCUUCGGCUAUCACUUUUGGAUGGUCCCGCGGCGUAUUAGCUAGAUGGUGGGGUAACGGCUCACCAUGGCAAUGAUACGUAGCCGACCUGAGAGGGUAAUCGGCCACAUUGGGACUGAGACACGGCCCAAACUCCUACGGGAGGCAGCAGUAGGGAAUCUUCCACAAUGGACGAAAGUCUGAUGGAGCAACGCCGCGUGAGUGAAGAAGGGUUUCGGCUCGUAAAACUCUGUUGUUAAAGAAGAACAUAUCUGAGAGUAACUGUUCAGGUAUUGACGGUAUUUAACCAGAAAGCCACGGCUAACUACGUGCCAGCAGCCGCGGUAAUACGUAGGUGGCAAGCGUUGUCCGGAUUUAUUGGGCGUAAAGCGAGCGCAGGCGGUUUUUUAAGUCUGAUGUGAAAGCCUUCGGCUCAACCGAAGAAGUGCAUCGGAAACUGGGAAACUUGAGUGCAGAAGAGGACAGUGGAACUCCAUGUGUAGCGGUGAAAUGCGUAGAUAUAUGGAAGAACACCAGUGGCGAAGGCGGCUGUCUGGUCUGUAACUGACGCUGAGGCUCGAAAGUAUGGGUAGCAAACAGGAUUAGAUACCCUGGUAGUCCAUACCGUAAACGAUGAAUGCUAAGUGUUGGAGGGUUUCCGCCCUUCAGUGCUGCAGCUAACGCAUUAAGCAUUCCGCCUGGGGAGUACGGCCGCAAGGCUGAAACUCAAAGGAAUUGACGGGGGCCCGCACAAGCGGUGGAGCAUGUGGUUUAAUUCGAAGCUACGCGAAGAACCUUACCAGGUCUUGACAUACUAUGCAAAUCUAAGAGAUUAGACGUUCCCUUCGGGGACAUGGAUACAGGUGGUGCAUGGUUGUCGUCAGCUCGUGUCGUGAGAUGUUGGGUUAAGUCCCGCAACGAGCGCAACCCUUAUUAUCAGUUGCCAGCAUUAAGUUGGGCACUCUGGUGAGACUGCCGGUGACAAACCGGAGGAAGGUGGGGAUGACGUCAAAUCAUCAUGCCCCUUAUGACCUGGGCUACACACGUGCUACAAUGGAUGGUACAACGAGUUGCGAACUCGCGAGAGUAAGCUAAUCUCUUAAAGCCAUUCUCAGUUCGGAUUGUAGGCUGCAACUCGCCUACAUGAAGUCGGAAUCGCCAGUAAUCGCGGAUCAGCAUGCCGCGGUGAAUACGUUCCCGGGCCUUGUACACACCGCCCGUCACACCAUGAGAGUUUGUAACACCCAAAGUCGGUGGGGUAACCUUUUAGGAACCAGCCGCCUAAGGUGGGACAGAUGAUUAGGGUG